UAAACGAAAGCCAAUUAGGCACCUAUCUGUUAAGUAGGCCCCCGUUAAAUAUAACUCGUUUAA
rnacentral:tRNA from 1 species